rnacentral:rRNA from 1 species
AUGGAGAGCACCCGUGGAUAUGGUUUGCCAUGGAAAGUGAAAGUUAUGGUGGAAAAAGGAAUAAACUUUAUUUUUUGUUUGGGAACCGCCUACGACAUAUCUAGCAUGGAAAGUGUUCGGAACUCUAAGUCGUUUUCGUUGGUGGGAUGCACCUCCCAAGAUGUUUUUAUCUCUAAUUUUUUUUUCUUUGAGCUUUGGCACCUCUACAAAUCCCUACUUCCCUCUGCGAAGGGUCUAUCUUUUACUUUAUGCAUUUUUUUUAUUUUGAAAUUUGAGUCUCCACCUUCUCUUAUAAAAAGCACCAACUAG